AUCCAAGUGAGAGAUGAGUGGACAGAUGUAUUCAAAAGAUAUUGUGGCAAUAGAAACAAAAAGAUCUGGCGACAGACUGGAAGUGCAAAGGAAAGAAAUGUUAUUUUGAGAAGGGGUCUGUAGACUUCACCAGAUGACCAAAGGAAUCUAUGACACAUAAAAAGUUCAAGGACUCCUGGAUUUAUACUCUGUGCUGACCAGAUCAUAUCUGGAGUAUGGUGUUCCAUUCUGGGUACCAGAGCUAACAACGGACCUUCCUCAUUAGGGACAGAUAGACAGACGAGCUACUAUGGCAUCCUACUACGAGAUCCUGGAUGUGCCUCCAAGUGCCUCCCCUGAUGACAUCAAGAAGGCAGCAAAAACGGGACCUCUAUGACCGUUAUGGCAAAGAUGGACUGUCUGGGGCUGCAGGUUCAGAAUCUCCAAGGGCUGGAUCUGGUGGAUUCACCUUCACCUUUCGAAAUCCUGAGGAUGUCUUCAGGGAAUUUUUUGGGGGCCAAGACCCAUUUGCUGACUUUUUUGAUGACCUGGGCCCGGGUCAGGGCCCACUGCAUUCCAGAGGCUUUUUUGGUUUUUCAUCUCCCUUCUCUUCCCACCCAGCCUUUGCUUCAUCCUUCUCCUUCAGUCCUGGGGCCCAUGCCCUACGUUCUGUGACCACCUCUACCACCUUUGUGAAUGGCCGACGAGUUACGACUCGAAGAAUCAGGGAGAAUGGAGAGGAACGGGUGGAGAUUGAGGAGGAUGGGCAGCUGAAGACAGUCCUUGUCAAUGGAGUCCCUGAUGACCUGGCGCUGGGGUUGGAACUGAGUCGCCGAGAGCAGAUGCAUUUGACCAAAGAACCUAGUGGGGCUGUGCCCAAGUCUUUCGAUGUCUUAGGCCUCUCAGACAAUGAAGAUGAGGACAUACAACUUGCCAUGGCCUAUAGCCUAUCUGAGAAGGAAGCAGCUGAAAAGAAGGCUGCAGGUGGGCGACAGGGCAGUCAACAGCAUGGGAGUCCUGGGACCCGGGCCCACGAAGCAGCCAAGAAGAAGGCUGCAGGUGGGCGACAGGGCAGUCAACAGCAUGAGAGUCCUGGGACCCGGGCCCACAAAGUAGCUGAGAAGAAGGCCACAGGGGGGCGGCAGGGCAGUCAACAGCAUGGCAGUCCUGGGACCCAGGCCCACAAAGCAGCAGAGAAGAAGGCCACAGGGGGGCGGCAGGCCAGUCAGCAGCAGAGGAGUCCUGAGACCCAGGCCCAGGAAGCAGCUGGGAAGAAGUCUGCAGGUGGGCAGUGGGCCCACCAAUGGCAGGGACAUCCUGAGACCCAGGCCCAGGAUCCGGGUGUGGGGGCGGUUCAAGAAGGGGCACAGAGAGUGGCCAGAGAGCCCAGUGUGGCUUCUGAGGAUAAGGCGUCUCGCUGUAUCAUCCUCUGAAGACAAGGUCCCAGUCACCUUAAGUCAGCUCUCUGGGAGGUUCUCUCACAGCUGGAGCUCAGUUCAUACCCCUAACACUGUCUAAGCUCCAAUCUCACCUCCGUGGCCCCUUGGGCUUCCCUUCUUAACCAUUAGCCCUGACCUGGGCUUGAGUCUGCUAUGACCAUGGGGUUUGCUACUGCCAUUGUUACUGUUGAUGCUGUUCUUGGCCUGUGUCGGGCACAGAAGAGUCAGGCUCUGUCAGGUGGGACCUGGACCUUGUUAUUGGGGAGGGAAAAGUUCAUCAGGAAGAUUACCCUUGGGCAGGGGUCAGUGGGGGCCUUUAGGAAGAGAACCUGAGGACAGUGGUAGGGGCUGGUCGAUAGAGACAGAAUUCUGUCCCUGGGACUCAUUUCCAUCUUGUACAUAUGAUGUGGUUUGUAGGCAAGGUCUCAGCCUGGAGUUACCCCGGAUCCUGUCUAGGGUGGUGCACUUUGUGGUCUGGGAGAAUUUGUCCUAGACUGGUGGUGGGGAGGGGUGAUAUGAGUGUCAACUUCUGUUCCUCUUGUACAGUUGUAGGCCAUCUGCCCCUUGCCACAUGGGUGGUUCUGGGGUGAGGACUAAGGUGCUGUGAUGAGAUCUGACUGUCUCUGUUGCUUGCCUCUUCCAAUUCCUUGAAGCUGUACCUGCUGCUUCUCCUUCCUCAGACACCUCUCUCUUCCCCCCUUCCCUGCUGGCUGGCUGGCUAAGAUACCCCCUCCCUUUCCCUCUUCCCCCACAAGGCCUUGGUGCUGAAUGAGGAAGAAGCUGGAAGGGCCGUGGGUCUCCAGGAUGUAUUCUGAACUGGAUGUCCGGGACCCAGAGCCAUCGCAAAGCUCCUUCAGGAUGUCACCCUUCCCUGGGUGCAGGGUGGGGGGAUUCCCCUCCAUUCCUCUCCCCCAUCCAUGCUGAGCUCGGAGCCAUGGCCUGGAUGGUGUGCUUCAGGGGCAGGUGGGCGGUGGGUUAGUAGUGGUAGACAACAGACUUCCUAGGGGGCUAUGUUCAGUAGCCCUUGGAAACUACAUGUCCCAUAAUGCUAUGUACCCCUUCAUGAAUUGCCUGGGUGAAACUGUGAUGUGGGAGCAGUGCAUCUUAGGACAUGCAGUUUCUACCAGUACCAGCCACAGGCUACCUCUCUUCUGUCCUGUGACUACACAGAGGGAUCCUGUCCCUUGUAGAGGUGGAGAGGUGUGGGUACACUGGGGAGAGGAAGAGUCUGGGGUUGGAGCCAGCCAGCUGAACCCUAGGCUCCUCCAAAUCUGUCUCACCAUUGGACGCUGCUGGUUGGGGGAGGAGCCAAGAUGGGGGUGGGGGAGAAAUAACGGGGAGGGAGAAACUAUUCAUCUGUGCAGGGAUGGGGCCUGGAAAACAAAGCAGCCGCCCCCACCCCUCCACCCCCAACAUGCUGCCCAAAGGGCAGCAGGACCAGCUGACCGAGGAGAGACCUCUGAAGGCAGUGGCUGGGUGGGGGCAUGGGUUGGGCAGUUGGGUAUUGGUUGGGUGCGGCGUGGAGUUAGGAAUGGGGUGCGAAACGGGAAACUGAAACUGGCCCCAACAGGCUGAGUGUGAGUUGUGCUAGGUCCAGUUGAAUGGUGCUUGUGAGAGGGAGCUGAAGGGCAUGUUGCUGCUUGUAUGGCCUCGUCCAGCCUCUAACCCUCUUCCAUUCAUGAUGACAGAAUUGCCCUUCCUCUUCUCUGCCUAGUGGAGCCUCCAGGAGGGGAGGAGGUAGGGGUGGAGAAGGCAUGACUGCUUCCCCAGGUCCAGCUUGCGAGGGCCUACUGGGCCAGGGUGUGCUUAGUUCAGAUUCAUGAGUAAAACACUGGAAAUUAAUAAACCUGAUAAUAUUUGGAGACUGUA